GCUGGCGGCACGCCUAACACAUGCAAGUCGAACGCAGUAGCAAUACUGAGUGGCAAACGGGUGAGUAUAAUGUGGGAAUCUGCCUUUUGGUUUGGAAUAACACGGGGAAACUUGUGCUAAUACCGAAUAAGCCCUUACGGGGAAAGUUUUAAUGCCGAAAGAUGAGCCCGCACUUGAUUAGCUAGUUGGUAAGGUAAAAGCUUACCAAGGCAACGAUCAAUAGCUGUUCUUAGAGGAAGACCAGCCACAUUGGGACUGAGACACGGCCCAGACUCCUACGGGAGGCAGCAGUGGGGAAUCUUGCACAAUGGGGGAAACCCUGAUGCAGCGAUGCCGCGUGAGUGAAGAAGGCCCUUGGGUUGUAAAACUCUUUCGUCGGGGAAGAAAAUGACUGUACCCGAAUAAGAAGGUCCGGCUAACUUCGUGCCAGCAGCCGCGGUAAUACGAAGGGACCUAGCGUAGUUCGGAAUUACUGGGCUUAAAGAGCUCGUAGGUGGUUAAAAAAGUUGAUGGUGAAAUCCCAAGGCUUAACCUUGGAACUGCCAUCAAAACUUUUUAGCUAGAGUGUGAUAGAGGUAAGUGGAAUUUCUAGUGUAGAGGUGAAAUUCGUAGAUAUUAGAAAGAACACCAAAAGCGAAGGCAACUUACUGGGUCACUACUGACACUGAGGAGCGAAAGCAUGGGUAGCGAAGAGGAUUAGAUACCCUCGUAGUCCAUGCCGUAAACGAUGAGUGCUAGACGUUGGAAAUAUAUUUUUCAGUGUCGCAGCGAAAGCAUUAAGCACUCCGCCUGGGGAGUACGACCGCAAGGUUAAAACUCAAAUGAAUGACG
rnacentral:rRNA from 1 species